AUUCACAAUCGAUAAAAUUUUUGCAUAUCCGUUUAAAGGAAUUCUCUCUUCCUCUCAUCGGGCAAAGCAAAACUCUCCAUUGAAUUCUCAAAAGCAAAACAGAAUUAGAUUUCGCGGGAAAUAGAAAUUGGGAAGAAAAGGACAAUCAAUUCAUGCAUCAUGGCCGAUUCACCGCCGCGCUGAUUUGUCAUAAUUCUUGGGAAUAGAAAUUGAAAAAAUGGACAAUCGAUCCAUAUGAACGACCAAUUUUCUACAACACUAAUUUAUCUGAAUUCUUAUCCAGUUCUAAGCAGAUGAUGUUUUUCAGCGAAGAAUUAAUAAGGAGAAGUUUAUACUGCAAGUUCGCAUUAUGCAUCAGCCUUUUGUAAUAUGCAAUGCAUUCAGAAAGGUAUGUUCAACAAGUAACCCUACCC